rnacentral:rRNA from 1 species
GGGAGCUUGCUCCCUGAUGUUAGCGGCGGACGGGUGAGUAACACGUGGGUAACCUGCCUGUAAGACUGGGAUAACUCCGGGAAACCGGGGCUAAUACCGGAUGGUUGUUUGAACCGCAUGGUUCAAACAUAAAAGGUGGCUUCGGCUACCACUUACAGAUGGACCCGCGGCGCAUUAGCUAGUUGGUGAGGUAACGGCUCACCAAGGCAACGAUGCGUAGCCGACCUGAGAGGGUGAUCGGCCACACUGGGACUGAGACACGGCCCAGACUCCUACGGGAGGCAGCAGUAGGGAAUCUUCCGCAAUGGACGAAAGUCUGACGGAGCAACGCCGCGUGAGUGAUGAAGGUUUUCGGAUCGUAAAGCUCUGUUGUUAGGGAAGAACAAGUACCGUUCGAAUAGGGCGGUACCUUGACGGUACCUAACCAGAAAGCCACGGCUAACUACGUGCCAGCAGCCGCGGUAAUACGUAGGUGGCAAGCGUUGUCCGGAAUUAUUGGGCGUAAAGGGCUCGCAGGCGGUUUCUUAAGUCUGAUGUGAAAGCCCCCGGCUCAACCGGGGAGGGUCAUUGGAAACUGGGGAACUUGAGUGCAGAAGAGGAGAGUGGAAUUCCACGUGUAGCGGUGAAAUGCGUAGAGAUGUGGAGGAACACCAGUGGCGAAGGCGACUCUCUGGUCUGUAACUGACGCUGA